UGGCGAACGGGUGAGUAACACGUGGGUAAUCUGCCCUGCACUCUGGGAUAAGCCUGGGAAACUGGGUCUAAUACUGGAUAUGACCUUUCUCCUUAUGGGGUUUGGUGGAAAGUCUUUCGGUGUAGGAUGAGCCCGCGGCCUAUCAGCUUGUUGGUGGGGUGAUGGCCUACCAAGGCGACGACGGGUAGCCGGCCUGAGAGGGUGAUCGGCCACAUUGGGACUGAGAUACGGCCCAG
rnacentral:rRNA from 1 species